CACACUAUCAUUAACUGAAUCCAUAGGUUAAUGAGGCGAACCGGGGGAACUGAAACAUCUAAGUACCCCGAGGAAAAGAAAUCAACCGAGAUUCCCCCAGUAGCGGCGAGCGAACGGGGAGCAGCCCAGAGCCUGAAUCAGUGUGUGUGUUAGUGGAAGCGUCUGGAAAGGCGCGCGAUACAGGGUGACAGCCCCGUACACAAAAAUGCACAUGCUGUGAGCUCGAUGAGUAGGGCGGGACACGUGGUAUCCUGUCUGAAUAUGGGGGGACCAUCCUCCAAGGCUAAAUACUCCUGACUGACCGAUAGUGAACCAGUACCGUGAGGGAAAGGCGAAAAGAACCCCGGCGAGGGGAGUGAAAAAGAACCUGAAACCGUGUACGUACAAGCAGUGGGAGCACGCUUAGGCGUGUGACUGCGUACCUUUUGUAUAAUGGGUCAGCGACUUAUAUUCUGUAGCAAGGUUAACCGAAUAGGGGAGCCGAAGGGAAACCGAGUCUUAACUGGGCGUUAAGUUGCAGGGUAUAGACCCGAAACCCGGUGAUCUAGCCAUGGGCAGGUUGAAGGUUGGGUAACACUAACUGGAGGACCGAACCGACUAAUGUUGAAAAAUUAGCGGAUGACUUGUGGCUGGGGGUGAAAGGCCAAUCAAACCGGGAGAUAGCUGGUUCUCCCCGAAAGCUAUUUAGGUAGCGCCUCGUGAAUUCAUCUCCGGGGGUAGAGCACUGUUUCGGCAAGGGGGUCAUCCCGACUUACCAACCCGAUGCAAACUGCGAAUACCGGAGAAUGUUAUCACGGGAGACACACGGCGGGUGCUAACGUCCGUCGUGAAGAGGGAAACAACCCAGACCGCCAGCUAAGGUCCCAAAGUCAUGGUUAAGUGGGAAACGAUGUGGGAAGGCCCAGACAGCCAGGAUGUUGGCUUAGAAGCAGCCAUCAUUUAAAGAAAGCGUAAUAGCUCACUGGUCGAGUCGGCCUGCGCGGAAGAUGUAACGGGGCUAAACCAUGCACCGAAGCUGCGGCAGCGACGCUUAUGCGUUGUUGGGUAGGGGAGCGUUCUGUAAGCCUGCGAAGGUGUGCUGUGAGGCAUGCUGGAGGUAUCAGAAGUGCGAAUGCUGACAUAAGUAACGAUAAAGCGGGUGAAAAGCCCGCUCGCCGGAAGACCAAGGGUUCCUGUCCAACGUUAAUCGGGGCAGGGUGAGUCGACCCCUAAGGCGAGGCCGAAAGGCGUAGUCGAUGGGAAACAGGUUAAUAUUCCUGUACUUGGUGUUACUGCGAAGGGGGGACGGAGAAGGCUAUGUUGGCCGGGCGACGGUUGUCCCGGUUUAAGCGUGUAGGCUGGUUUUCCAGGCAAAUCCGGAAAAUCAAGGCUGAGGCGUGAUGACGAGGCACUACGGUGCUGAAGCAACAAAUGCCCUGCUUCCAGGAAAAGCCUCUAAGCAUCAGGUAACAUCAAAUCGUACCCCAAACCGACACAGGUGGUCAGGUAGAGAAUACCAAGGCGCUUGAGAGAACUCGGGUGAAGGAACUAGGCAAAAUGGUGCCGUAACUUCGGGAGAAGGCACGCUGAUAUGUAGGUGAAGUGACUUGCUCAUGGAGCUGAAAUCAGUCGAAGAUACCAGCUGGCUGCAACUGUUUAUUAAAAACACAGCACUGUGCAAACACGAAAGUGGACGUAUACGGUGUGACGCCUGCCCGGUGCCGGAAGGUUAAUUGAUGGGGUCAGCGCAAGCGAAGCUCUUGAUCGAAGCCCCGGUAAACGGCGGCCGUAACUAUAACGGUCCUAAGGUAGCGAAAUUCCUUGUCGGGUAAGUUCCGACCUGCACGAAUGGCGUAAUGAUGGCCAGGCUGUCUCCACCCGAGACUCAGUGAAAUUGAACUCGCUGUGAAGAUGCAGUGUACCCGCGGCAAGACGGAAAGACCCCGUGAACCUUUACUAUAGCUUGACACUGAACAUUGAGCCUUGAUGUGUAGGAUAGGUGGGAGGCUUUGAAGUGUGGACGCCAGUCUGCAUGGAGCCGACCUUGAAAUACCACCCUUUAAUGUUUGAUGUUCUAACGUGGACCCGUAAUCCGGGUUGCGGACAGUGUCUGGUGGGUAGUUUGACUGGGGCGGUCUCCUCCUAAAGAGUAACGGAGGAGCACGAAGGUUGGCUAAUCCUGGUCGGACAUCAGGAGGUUAGUGCAAUGGCAUAAGCCAGCUUGACUGCGAGCGUGACGGCGCGAGCAGGUGCGAAAGCAGGUCAUAGUGAUCCGGUGGUUCUGAAUGGAAGGGCCAUCGCUCAACGGAUAAAAGGUACUCCGGGGAUAACAGGCUGAUACCGCCCAAGAGUUCAUAUCGACGGCGGUGUUUGGCACCUCGAUGUCGGCUCAUCACAUCCUGGGGCUGAAGUAGGUCCCAAGGGUAUGGCUGUUCGCCAUUUAAAGUGGUACGCGAGCUGGGUUUAGAACGUCGUGAGACAGUUCGGUCCCUAUCUGCCGUGGGCGCUGGAGAACUGAGGGGGGCUGCUCCUAGUACGAGAGGACCGGAGUGGACGCAUCACUGGUGUUCGGGUUGUCAUGCCAAUGGCACUGCCCGGUAGCUAAAUGCGGAAGAGAUAAGUGCUGAAAGCAUCUAAGCACGAAACUUGCCCCGAGAUGAGUUCUCCCUGACCCUUUAAGGGUCCUGAAGGAACGUUGAAGACGACGACGUUGAUAGGCCGGGUGUGUAAGCGCAGCGAUGCGUUGAGCUAACCGGUACUAAUGAACCGUGAGGCUUAACCUUACAACGCCGAAGCUGUU
rnacentral:rRNA from 1 species